UCCGCUAUGGUCCAGUGGUUAGGAUUUCUGGCUUUCAUGAAAGUGAAAGUUCUCAGACGGCCCGGAUUCGAAUUCCGGUAGCGGAA